UACGUAGGGGGCGAGCGUUGUCCGGAUUUAUUGGGCGUAAAGAGCUCGUAGGCGGUUCGAUAAGUCGGAUGUGAAAUCUCCACGCUCAACGUGGAGGGGCCAUUCUAUACUGUCGUGACUCGAGUCCGGUAGGGGAGUGUGGAAUUCCCGGUGUAGCGGUGAAAUGCGCAGAGAUCGGGAGGAACACCCGUAGCGAAGGCGGCACUCUGGGCCGGUACUGACGCUGAGGAGCGAAAGCGUGGGGAGCAAACAGG
rnacentral:rRNA from 1 species